UCCGCCCUGCGAGAUCUUGUUCCAGUGGCUGGGAUCUUCCUGGCACUUCUCAAAGAACUCCACCAGCAGCGCGGAGGCCUUGUCGUUCUGGUAUGGAUCGAUGUGGUAGCCGGACACGCCAUUCACAAUGAUCUCAGCUGGACCACCGUAUGCAGUGGCAAAUGUGGGAAGGCCACAUGUCAUGGCCUCUAUCACGGUAAGCCCGAAGGCCUCAUAGAAAGCAGGCUGUGCACAGGGAGGCAAACAGAAAAGAAGACGUCAGAACUAGCGGAUUCUGUGAUUCAGUCAUAGUGAGUUCCUAGGUUGACAGUGUUCUUCACCUGCACAAAGGCUCCCUUCAUGUCGCAGAUGUAGCGGUAGAGCUCACCGUUGCGGACGCGGUUCAUCUGAGCAGAGAUCCAGCGGAUGUGGCCGCUCAAGUUGUAUUCUUCGAUCAGAUCAAACAUCUUCUUGAACUCGGCCUGCUCCUCCUUGUCCUUGGACUCCUUUCCAUGGUCUCCACAGACAACUACAAGGUUCACCAGCUCCUGUAGGCGUGGGUUCCGGCCAUACAGUUCAACCAGGCCAGUCAUAUUCUUCACACGGUCCAGCCUAGCCAUGGAGAAGAUGAUCGGCUUCUUCUUGUCCUUCAGCACAAAUCUGGAGAGGUGCUCUUGUUAGAUAACCAGAAAAGCAUGCAUUCAUUACAAGAAACUCAAAUUCAAAAAUGAUACAAGUAUGACCCUUACUUGUGCUCAGAAUUCUCGACAUCACUGAAGAGUAGCUCCUCAAUCUCAGAAUGGAGGGAAGUAAGCCUCUUCUGUUGUUCAGUGUAUGGGAAGUAGAUGGUCAUGUCAGCACCAGGGGAGACGAUGUUGAACUUGGGGUCGAAGACAUCAAUACCAUGGACAACGCGAUAGAGGCCAGGCAUUGUGAAUGCCAUGUGCGACUCAUACUGCCCUACUGUAUCCUUGCUGAAAAAGGAAAAUUGGACAGUAACAUUAGAACAUUUGAUGAUAUUUGCAAAUGACCAUAGUGGGAUUUCUGUGAGAAAGAGAAUCUUACUUUCCAGCAAUCUCUUGGAAGGUACUGGUGAUGAUGAAGUCAGCAUGGUUCAUUGCAAUCAGGUCAGCCGUGAACUGGCAGGAGAAGUGGUAGUGAUCUUCAAAUUUCUUCCAGUAAAGGUCAGAGUUGGGGUACUUGGUUUUCUCUAGGGCAUGAGCAAUGGUACACUGCAUAUACGGGAAUAAGAGUUAUGAUAAAAUACUACGGAGAUGAAAAUAGAUCUUCUUUUGAUCAAGGGGGUAGAAUGUUUACAUGAGUAACCCCCAACUUGUGUGCCAACAAACACGCGACAAGGUUUCCAUCACUGUAGUUUCCAAUGAUCAAGUCAGGGUUGGCCUGCAGCUCUCCGGCAAUCUCAUGUGCCACAUCCUGAAAGCAACAGAGAAAUAUAUGAAUUGUGUCAACCUAAUGAAACACUACAAACAACCUGAUGGAAAGUUAGAUGCAUACAUCGGUGUAAGCUUCCAGGUAAGGCCAGACUUCAAAACGUGAGAUCCAUUUGCGAACAAUCCCAUCUUCUGUUUUGAAUGGCACACGCAGAAUGUGGGUGUGCUCAGUGCCAAGGACCUUCUCAAGGCGCUGGCCGCAGGUGGUGCCGUGUGCAUCAGGGAGCAACCUGGUGACCUAUGUAAGGCCAAAUACACCUCAUUAGGGAUCAACUAAAAUAGCGACUUCAUAUUUGAUCAUAUUGGGUACUAAACUUACUAUUAGAAUCUUUGGUGUAAUGUCAAGACCUUGCUGCUUGAUUCUCAACAGCAUCUCAUUCUCCAUAGCACGGACUUGGUCCAAAAUGUAGACAACCUGUGGAUUGCCAUCACAUAAGAAAGUUGGUGAUAACAAAUAUGUGGUGUUGUUUAGAAUAUGAAGAGGGAAUAUGCUGAAGUGUCAAAAUUUUGCAGGGGACUCUACCUGCCCACCAGUAUCUGGGUACCCCAAGACAUUGGCCUGAGCAAAGUAACCAUGAGGAGAGAGGAUGACAACAUUGAACACCAUUGGGAUUGUUCCGAGAAACUUUUCCAAGGUGGAUGGAUCAGGAGCCUCGAGAAGGUCCAAGAGAAGGUGGAUAGUCUCAUGUGCACGCUGAGUACAGUCGCCCCAACCUUUCUCCAAACCAAGUUCCUGGAACCUGAAUGUGCAACGAAAAAGUAUUGUACCGGUGGUGGAACUCUGAGUACGGGGUGUCAGCUGGAAGGCCUGACAGAUGCUUCUCUGCCUUCCUGAGUGCAUCUUGGAGGGCACUGAGACUGCGAAUUCUGUCGUUCAACAUCAUGGUCUGAAGCAAGAAAGAAAAGAUUACAUAAUCCACAUAAUUCAGCAGGAGUUGUGUGCACGGAGGAAGUUGAGCAAGGGGUACAUGCUCUCCUUGUCAUGGAACAGCUUUGAUGACAGGUGCCUGUUCAAGAACUGCACACCAUUGCCAAUAGACUUCGACAGCGAUGGCCGAGGGAAGGAGGCAUUGAAUGGCCCAAAGUCCAGUUCAAGCACGAAGUUGUUAUUAGUGCUGGAAUUUGAACAUAAGGAGUGUCAAGUGACCGUAUUAGCAUCUGAUAGAAAUAAGGGACACUCAACUCCUCAACGCCAAGCUCGCUCACAUUGACCCUCACAUACUCCCAGACGCCAGGCCUUGGCCGGAUGGCGAGAGCAACCCAUGGAGGGAUGACAAUUGCCUCCUGUAUGAGAAACCAACAUGUAGAUCAAGAGCUGAAAACUCUGGGCACAUCACUGGGAUGACGUGGUGACGCAAACCUGUGCCCCCCUUAGGAGAUCCUCAAAGGCGGUAUCCUUCAGCUUCUCUCGCUCAGCCUCGGGAAUAGCAGCAUUGUACUCAGCAGUGAUCUGGUGGGGCUGAAGCAUUCCCUUUCCAUGGUUAACAAGCCUGAACAAUCGCAUACAGCAGAUAUAUCAGACCUAUCAACGGAUGUUACUUAAACAAAAGUGUGCUAAGAAAUAUACAAGUACUUUGUUAUAAAUACAGGUAGCAAUAAGAGUUCAAAAGGAAAAUACAAGGAGCAGAAAUACAGAAAAAAAUUGUUCACUUUGAAAUUAUUUUUGCGCAA